rnacentral:rRNA from 1 species
GAUGAACGCUGGCGGCGUGCUUAACACAUGCAAGUCGAACGGGAUCCAAGGGGUGCUUGCACUUUUUGGUGAGAGUGGCGAAUGGGUGAGUAACACGUGAGUAACCUGUCCUUUUCUUUGGGAUAAGCAUUCGAAAGGGUGUUUAAUACCUUAUGUUCUGUCUGCCUCGCAUGGGGUGGGUGGGAAAGGCUUUGGCCGGAUUUGGGUGGGCUCGCGGUCUAUCAGCUUGUUGGUGGGGUGAUGGCUUACCAAGGCUUUGACGGGUAGCCGGCCUGAGAGGGUGGUCGGUCACAUUGGGACUGAGAUACGGCCCAGACUCCUGCGGGAGGCAGCAGUGGGGGAUAUUGCACAAUGGGCGAAAGCCUGAUGCAGCGACGCCGCGUGGGGGAUGAAGGCCUUCGGGUUGUAAACUUCUUUUGCUCUGAACAAGGCAUGCCAGUGGGUGUGUUGAGUGUAGGGGUUGAUUAGCGCCGGCUAACUACGUG